GAUGAACGCUGGCGGCGUGCUUAACACAUGCAAGUCGAACGGAAAGGCUCCUGCUUGCAGGGGUACUCGAGUGGCGAACGGGUGAGUAACACGUGGGUGAUCUGCCCUGCACUUCGGGAUAAGCCUGGGGAACUGGGUCUAAUACCGGAUAGGACGAUGGUUUGGAUGCCAUUGUGGAAAGUUUUUCGGUGUGGGAUGAGCUCGCGGCCUAUCAGCUUGUUGGUGGGGUAAUGGCCUACCAAGGCGUCGACGGGUAGCCGGCCUGAGAGGGUGUACGGCCACAUUGGGACUGAGAUACGGCCCAGACUCCUACGGGAGGCAGCAGUGGGGAAUAUUGCACAAUGGGCGCAAGCCUGAUGCAGCGACGCCGCGUGGGGGAUGACGGCCUUCGGGUUGUAAACUCCUUUCGCUAGGGACGAAGCGCAAGUGACGGUACCUGGAGAAGAAGCACCGGCUAACUACGUG
rnacentral:rRNA from 1 species